rnacentral:lncRNA from 1 species
GGAGCACUUGAGCAGAGAGCUGCCUGGUGCGAGGAGCCCACCUGGUGGAGGUUUGAUGGGGCCUCACCAGCAGAGGAGGACUGAAGCUCAAAGCCUCAGACUCUUCUUUCUUUGUGUACCUGCGGCUCUCUCAGAGCCAGGUCUGACCACUGCACGACUGAGCCUUACUUAGGUAAGCUCUCCCUCAGUGGGAGAGUGGCCCAGGCGCUGGUUUUUGACAAACUCCUAGAGGUUGGUGCCAGUGAGGUCAUUGCCUCUGACCCAGUUGCUACCCUGAAAAUGCCUAUGAAGGUGAAGGUACCAUGAAACUCAGGACCUUGCAGGCCUGGGUAGUGAUGAAAUCCUGGCACAGAUUCUAUGCCAACCCAAGAAAGGCCUUUCAGAACAAGAAAAAUUCUGGGAAACUUCUUGCUUUGUUUUUUACAAGAGCUCCAGAAUUUCAAUUCACAACAAAGCACAUAGAUAGCCAUUGAAUUUUCUUAAAAGGCAAAAUGGUGGAAGGGUCUGUCCCAUCUUAUCGAGAAGCUCUCUCUAUCCUAGAGUGCCCCCCACCAGAGAGAUUUAUUUCAGGUUUCACCAAAAUUCUCUAGCUCAGCAGACCUCUUUGCCUGUGGGUGUUUUGUUUUAAGACCUUACUGCUUAGCAGUGAUUUUUCUCUAUUCCACACAGCAAACAAUGCUGAGAACAUUCCUUUUUUUUUUUUUAAUAUUUUUUAGUUGUCAAUGGAUCUUUUUUUUAAAAAAAAAAAGAAAAGAAACAUUUGAAAUACCACAGUUUUAAUCGUGAAAGUCUCUAAAGACUUAUGUGUUAAAAGCUUGGUCCCAGCUUGUGAUGUCAUUGGGAGGUGAUGAAGCCUUUAGAAGGUGAGACCUUUUAUUUAUUUAUGUGCAGUGCCAGGGAUCGAACCCAGGGCCUCCCACAUGCCAGGCAAGAGCUCCACCACUGAUCCACAACUCCAGCCCCUGGUAAGAACAUUCUUAAGAACCAAUACUCUUUCAUGCCUUUUAAGCUGGUCAGCUAACAUAGGUCAGAGAACAAGGGAUGGGUUUGUUCUACCAGUUACAAACCAUAAGGUGUCUUCAGAGCCUUCUGGAUAUUCCAGAAGCACUUCCAGAAUUGUUUUAUAAUUUAGCAGACUUUGCUUAGCAUGGUAGAGAUGGCCUGCCUGUCUCCUUGUACUUCAUUUGGUUUUGAGAAUCAUCCCACUACAUACAGAUAAGCUUCUUCUAGUCCUUUGUAGUAGAACCUUGCUGCUUAUCAACAGGGGAGAGGACUUCAACCAUUUGGUUCAUUUCUUGGGGUAUUUGUUGAACAUCUACUAUGUGACAGACACUACUAUAAUCUAAGUAGAAUGGAAUAUUGACAUGUUGCCUAUGGGAGUCCAUCCAGGUUCCCACAUAAGGCUAGGGCAUGAUGUGGACAGUCACAAUUGUGUGUCCUCCCUGUUGCAGAAAGAAAUGAAUAGGAUGCAGUUUUCUUGGUGGUCUUUGUUACUAUUCCCUGAAGUCUAGUCUUCAAUUGGGGGCAGAUCAGCCCAUGACAAGGACAGUUCUUCACUUGGACCUGUGUUUUGUUCUCACCAGUUUCUCAAGAUGCCUUGGCUCCUAAUAAGCCACCGUAUGUCUGGCUGCCCUUCUCCAAGCUGGUCUGCCUGCAUUGCCAGGUGACCUCAAUAACGGCUGCCACUUUUGCAUUCAUGAGCAGAUGUUAAGUUGAGAAGCCCCUGAAUGCAGAAAUUUGAAUUUGUGAUGCAGGCAAGAUGCUUUUGCUUUUUACCUUCCCCAGCUGACAAGCAGGGUGGGAGUGGGGUUCUCCCAGCUGACCGUCCUGCAGAAGGAAGUAGGCUUUCUGGGGAGCAGGUAACUCAGGGACCAGUUGCCAAAUCCCUUGUCUUUUUUAGGUGAUCCCAGGGUGCCACUGCCAUGGCCCGAACAGCUCCUUGAGCGGAAAAUGACUCUUUCGAUCUUGCAACUGAUUUUGCAUUUUUUCCUUUAAUGGCUUCCUUGCUCCUGCAGCUAUUUCUGCUCAGAGUUCGAGACCAGCUCUUGAGUGCAGACUCAGUACGUUUGGUCAUCAGAGGGAGUUUGUUUUCUGGUCCUGUUUUGUUUAUUAAAACACCACCACUAUAAAUAUUCAUUCUGUGUUUGAGAGAAAGGUGAUGGAGGCUUUCAUUGCUUUCAUAAUAAACCACCUUCUUCUUUACCCCGGGGCUGCCAAAUAGAUAUUUUGAAAUUUUUUUUCCCUUUUGCAUACUGAAGUCUCCUUCCCGGUCUGAGGCCUUGCUCUAAUUAAGGCCUCACAGUGCUGCCCAUCUUCCCCAGUGCUGAGCAUGACGCACGGUGCCUGCCCCGAGGGCCUUACAAGCCAGUGAGACGAGAAAACAAAAGCCACCAGCUGAGAAUGUGGUUAAAUCCCAGAAGGGCAGUGCCCUUGUAAUCCGCCCCCCCAACUUUUUUUUUUCUUUGUGUCUUGAGCUAAGGAAGGAAAAAGGAGGACGUUUAGUAGGGAAAGAUUCUCUAACGCACACAUGGUGUUGGGGAAACCAUGUGGAAGAGAAUGGGGUGCUCCCCUGGGAAGCAAAAUGGGGAACCAGCACAGGCUGGAGAGGGCAGCAAGGGGGCAGGUGGGGGCGCAGGAGCUAAGAAAGAAGGAACAAAGGGAUAGUCAGGAGGCAGCAAAAAGGAGUGGCUGCUUUGCCGCACCCUGAAGCUGGUGAUGCAGGGUGAGCGGGAAAAAGCAGAGGACAGGAAAAGAAGGUUUGGAAGAGCCCCGAGUGCAGGCUGCCAGGCUGUGUAGAGACCGGGUACUGUGAUGUUCUGUCUGGUUUCGUCAUAAUGUUGACCUUGUUGCUGAAGUGUCCCACGCUGCCUGUGUGCAGAGCUUGCCGAUUGAUGCCCCUAAAGGUGAUUUAUCCUGGAGUCUAAAUUUCCAGGCCUAUGCCCAGGUUCCUGUUCUGCCUGCUGAGAAUACCAGUGCCCCCACCCCCUGUUGCUCGGCUAGAUCUGAAUUGAACUUGAAUUGAGCAGCCCUUUUACGCACGCUUUUGGUCUUCUACAAAGCACUGAUCGAAGAUCUACCCAACCAACCUGCCAUAAGCUACAGAUUUGAGGAAUUCUUUUUCUCAAAGUCACGUUGCCCACGGCAGGCACAAUGAGGUGCUUUGGGAGCCCCCAAAGCUGCCUUCUUGCUUGCUUGCUCAGCAGGAGCCUAUGCAAAUCCUGGUCCUGGUGUCCAUGGGGACUCUGGUCUCCAGGGAGGUCAGGCCUGGUGGCAUAGUAGCACUUAGUGUUGCCAUUGUCCCUGUACUCCUUGCCCAGCUCUUUGGGGAAUUCAAACCACGAAUUUCAGUUAGACCCCUUUUGUUCUCUCACUGAGAAGACUGUGGCCAGAGAAGUUCUUUCCCGAGGUCCUCUGGAGAGUUAAGGGCUUCACUCCCAGUUCUGUGCUCUUUCCGCUAAACCAAGCUGCUCUUGGGUCACAGGGGAAGCCCAGUCCCUUACCAGGGACUGUCAGACUUGCUCUGUUAAGGGUUAGAUAGUGAAUAUUUUAGGCCUUGCGGUGUCAAGAGGCUCAAUUUCAACAAAUUGAGUUAAAAGAUUGGAUUGACUUUUAUUAGCAACUCGUGAACCAGGCAGCACCCCAUCUAUAAAAAAGAGAAAGGCACACUGUCAGGCCUGGCAGAAAAAUCGGGGUUUAUAAGUAGCUUGAGCAGGAACAAGGAAACAGCAUACAACAAAAAGCGGAUUGGUUCACGCAGGGUUACUUCAGGUUAUUUUCCUUAUAAGGAUUAAAGCAGAGGGGACUUCCUUAUCAUGCCGCUAAAACUGGCCUGUUUGGGGAUUUGUCUUCUGAUUUCUCAGAAGGUCAGAUAAACAGCUUAAUACCAAUUAAGUGAUGUGAAGCUUUAGCAUGAGUGACUCCAUUAGAGUUUUGGUCUGUUGGGGUUCAGAGUAAUAGUAGUUCAUUCUAAAUCAAUGGCCUCCCAUAAAUUUUAUUUAAGGUGAUACGGCAAAACUGAGGACACUGAAUGUGUAUUUAUAUAAGAGAAAGUAAAUGUCCACAAAGUUUGUAUUGAUGAGUUUCAAAAUGUAAUAAUAUAUAAU